rnacentral:piRNA from 1 species
UUAAAGUCACAAGAGAACAAC